CAUUUACGCGUGGUGAUUGUUUGUUGUCGUUUUUUCUAUCCAAUGUUAUAAAAUGCGAUUGAAAUUGCACUCGAGAUUAAAAUGGAGUUUUCGAGUCAGUAUCAGAGUGAUGCGGAAUUACUACGUUCGCCAACCCGAAUAGUAGAAUACUAAAAUGGGAACACAUAAGGUAUUCGAAAAUAUUUUAUCCGAACAGUAUUUUAGGUGAAAAAUUGAUCGUCCGAACGUAUUGCAUACGAAAAAUAAUUCAGACGAAAACAGUUUGUCCGAAAAAUAAUAUUUCAUCCGAACUGUAUUUUGACAAAAAAUAAUUCUUCCAAACAAUAUUUUGGUCGAAAAAUAUUUCACAGUAUUUGAUCACCACCAGAGGAAGCUCUCUCGGCCAACUGAGCACUGUACCAUAGGUACACAGUCUAUACUCCUAUGGACAUUAUAUAUAUACCUAUUUAUCUUAGUUCUAAGGUAUAUAUUAUACAGUUUUUGUUUUUAUAAUAAGAAUGAUAAGAUAACGAAUAUUUUCGGCUAAAGUGCGGUUCCGAUGUAAUACUUUAUAACUUAAGGAUAAAAUAAUACUUUCGACUAAAAUACGUUUAUUCUAUAAUAUUUUCUAAUUAUUUAUUUUUGAUCGUUUUAUUUUCGUGUAAAAUAUUUUCUGAUAAAAUAUUGUUCGUAUUUUAUAAUACUUGAUAAAAUACGUUUCUAUUGGAAUUUUUUUGCGGAUACUAAAUUUUCUGACAAAAUAUUUUUAGACAUUAUAUAGCCACUCAUUAAAAUUAUUACGAAAAAGAGCUGAUACUGGGGAUGAGAGCAGCCACUGUUAUAGACGAGAAGUUGGGAAAGUAGGAUACUUAAGGUUAUUUCAUUCAUAUCUGGAAACAACGAUAAACCAUUGCUUAACGAAUGACGGUAUAAAACACAAUAUAUUUCAAGCUCGAGUAUCUUUAUGAUCGAAUUUACCUCGUAGUAGACAAGAGGUGCAUGAUAUUACGAAAGACAUCAAAACGUCAAAACGUUUGAAGGUAAUACAUUUUUACAGGUAAAUAAUGCGGAAAAAGGGGAUUUUAUUAUUUGGCACUGAUGACAAUUUAAAAUUUCUUAGUACAUCAACCAUAUUUUACGUUUAUGGAACAUUCUCGUACCGUACAAAGUUUUUUUUUACCAAGUUUUCACAAUUGAUGUAAUGAAAAACAAUCAUUGUACCUUUAGUUUUUACAUUACUGAAAGAAAAGAAAGACAAAAAUCAAGAAUCCUGUGUAGAUAUUUCACGAAUUAUUGAUAAUUAUUGUGUAACUUAUUGGGCAACUCAAGGUUUCAAUUCAUAAAAAUAUUAGUUAAUAAGUAUAAGCCACGGCAAAUAGUUUAAUAUAAUGGUUUUAAUUAAUUUUGUAUUCAUAAACUAUACAUAUAUUUUAUAUAAUGACGCAAUCAGCGAUAGUAUUCUGUGUUUUAAUUUUUCUCUCGAUUUUUCAAUACAUAUAAAUAUUAGCCAAUAAGUAUAAUCCGCGAAAAAAAUGGUUUAAUGUAAAUGUUUUGAUUAAUUUUGUACAUAUAUUUUAUAACGGUGUACAAUAUACGUAUGUGAUUAUUUUUUUAUAAAUAUUGAUUGUUGUAAAUGUUUAAUGUACACUAAUGCAAUAUUAUUUUAACGCCGGCGAAUACGCUGAUCGUUAGUGACUAAUGCUCAAUAUCAAUUACCAAUAUUUUAAUGGACCGCGGCGUAAUAUUUAUAAACUUGUUAACGG